UAAAGACAUUAAGAAAAUCUUCUUAUGGGCUCGGAAUGUGGCCUAGUCGUAGAAUGCUUGCCUAGCAUGCAUGAAGCCGUGGUUUUCGUUCCUCAGCACUAAAUAUACAGAAAAAGCUGGAAGUGGUGCUGGUGGCUCAAGUGGUAGAGUGCUAGCCUUGAGCAAAAGGAAGCCAC